CCCUCAGUUAUCAGUUUUUAAGAGUCUCUUAUGCUUUGGCUCUCUCCCACUCUAACCUCUUUUUUUUUUUCCUUCCCCUCCUCCAUGGGUUUCUGUAAGUUUCUCAGAGAGUGACUUAAAAUCAAAGUCGGAAUCCCAAGUGGUCAGAGCUGGAUGGUUUCUUAAAACUAUUGUCUUAAGCCAUGUCUUCCCAUGCGUAUGGGGGCCCAGAUCGGCCGAGCCCUUGCAUAGCACCUCCCACCCUGAAGCCUGGCUUAUGCUCUGCUCCAGGAUGCAGGGAGAGGUGCUCUGAGGUCAGACCUCCGGGCUGCAACACUGUUCUGCCCUGAGCCCCACUGUGACCUUGGGCACGCCACUUUCCCUCCACCUGCUGUCCGGGCCCACAUCUGUGAGACGCAAGUGGUAAUGACCAUUCCCACCUCAUGCACCGUUGUGAGGAGCGAGUGGAGCUGAGUGUGAAGAGUGGACGGUGGGGCCUGGUGUAUGGCAAGUGCUCUAGAAGUCUCUGGGUUGUGUGGCCUGCAUCUGCAUAACCAGGGGAGCUGCUCAGUGACAUGCAAGCUUAGUAAGACUUAGUAAGACUGGCUUUGUUCUAAAACAACCUAAGCUGAAGAGCCCCACUUGGGGGGCAGGAGAUGAUGCACUUUGUGGUCAGACCUGUCCGUUUCUGUGGCUUCCAACAAGGUCAUUCUUCUCGGAGACAGCCUUCCCCUUUGCACACAAAGAGGAAGUGAACAUUGUGCCUUGCCCCUUUUAUUUGCAAAGGGUAUGUUCUUAAACAGGUCCCUGCACUUUGAGAUUGUGAUCUUGGGUUCCCCUCCAAACUUGAAAAAGCACACCUCCCCCAGACCUCACCAUCUGGCCCCCAGACAGUGACAUCUGUAAAGCUAGGCUGUCUCAGGAAAUCUCAUUGGUGAAAUGAAUUCAGAUAGGCUGGCUAGGAAUGCUGUCACCAGGACGGGAACGGGGCUGAAGAAGCCUGAACAAAGAAGAUUCCUAAAUGGUCUCCAUCCUCCUGAACUGGGAGGGGGUUAAUGCUGGCCUAGUGCUUCCACUGCUCAUCUGGCCCCGGCAGUCCCCAAGGACUCCAGAGUGACCGGGAGGUGGACACAAAGGCAUUGUUGAGAUGGGGGUGGGGAGGGGAGAAAAUAAGUGAUCGUCACCUUGGAAAAAUGUAGACUCAUUAUCUGAGGGCCUUUAACACCAGCAACCAGUUUGCAGGCCUGGAGGAGGGGCGGGGCUGCAAUCCCUCUGGCCUGAAUGGGAGGGUCAGACAUCAGCCUUGGAAGAAGCGGAUGCCCCUUUCUGUAAACAGGGACUCCGUGAAGAAGUUCACCUUCCUCUCCUCCAGCCUGCCUUUGGCUGCUGUUAGCUGAAGCGGACAGCUGGAGGAGAGAGGCCCCCGUGCUCUGGAGCGGUGGCCCCGAGGAGGCGGCCCAGCCACCAGGGCUACUUCAUUUGAUGGAAGAGAACACCAGAGCCCGGUGUUGGGGGACGGAUGGAGGCUCAGGUCCUGGGUGAGGUGAGUAGGGGGUAGCCUCAACCCAGCUUUUGGCAGGAAGCCUGAGUAACCAGAGA